rnacentral:rRNA from 2 species
UACGGAGGGUGCAAGCGUUAAUCGGAAUUACUGGGCGUAAAGCGCACGCAGGCGGUUGAUUAAGUUAGAUGUGAAAUCCCCGGGCUUAACCUGGGAAUGGCAUCUAAGACUGGUCAGCUAGAGUCUUGUAGAGGGGGGUAGAAUUCCAUGUGUAGCGGUGAAAUGCGUAGAGAUGUGGAGGAAUACCGGUGGCGAAGGCGGCCCCCUGGACAAAGACUGACGCUCAGGUGCGAAAGCGUGGGGAGCAAAC